rnacentral:rRNA from 1 species
GACGAACGCUGGCGGCGUGCCUAAUACAUGCAAGUCGAACGCUGAAGGAGGAGCUUGCUUCUCUGGAUGAGUUGCGAACGGGUGAGUAACGCGUAGGUAACCUGCCUGGUAGCGGGGGAUAACUAUUGGAAACGAUAGCUAAUACCGCAUAAGAGUAGAUGUUGCAUGACAUUUGCUUAAAAGGUGCAAUUGCAUCACUACCAGAUGGACCUGCGUUGUAUUAGCUAGUUGGUGGGGUAACGGCUCACCAAGGCGACGAUACAUAGCCGACCUGAGAGGGUGAUCGGCCACACUGGGACUGAGACACGGCCCAGACUCCUACGGGAGGCAGCAGUAGGGAAGCUUCGGCAAUGGACGGAAGUCUGACCGAGCAACGCCGCGUGAGUGAAGAAGGUUUUCGGAUCGUAAAGCUCUGUUGUAAGAGAAGAACGAGUGUGAGAGUGGAAAGUUCACACUGUGACGGUAGCUUAACAGAAAGGGACGGCUAACUACGUG